ensembl:lncRNA
CACAUACUCACUCACUCACACAUACAUACAUACAUACAUACAUACUCACGCAUACACAUACUCACACACAUACAUACAUAUAUACAUACAUACUCACACACACAUACUCACACACACAUACAUACUCGAACGCACACAUACUCACACACACACAUACAUACUCACGCAUACACAUACUCACACACAUAUACAUACAUACUCACGCAUACACAUACUCACACACACAUACAUACUCGAACGCACACAUACUCACACACACACAUACAUACUCACGCAUACACAUACUCACACACAUACACAUACAUACUCACGCAUACACAUACUCACACACAUAUACAUACAUACAUACAUACAUACAUACAUACAUACAUACAUACUCAGCCACACACAUACAUACUUGCGCACAUACUCAUACAUACAUGCAUACACACACACACACAUACAUACACCACACACACACACACACACACACUCACACACAUACAUACAUACUCACACAUACAUACAU